rnacentral:ncRNA from 2 species
GUUAAUAGCAAGGGGAGCGGUAAUGCUGAGAGGUGUGUCUGAAAUGAUGCACGACCCUUAACCUGAUUUGGAUAAUGCCAACGUAGGAAUGCUGACAGAGUCGUGA